GACAUGGCUCAGGACGAACGCUGGCGGCGCGCCUAACACAUGCAAGUCGAACGAGAGAUGAGGAGCUUGCUCUUCAAAUCGAGUGGCGAACGGGUGAGUAACGCGUGAGGAACCUGCCUCAAAGAGGGGGACAACAGUUGGAAACGACUGCUAAUACUGCAUAAGCCCACAGCUCGGCAUCGAGCAGAGGGAAAAGGAGCGAUCCGCUUUGAGAUGGCCUCGCGUCCG
rnacentral:rRNA from 1 species